UCUGUCAUUCAGCAGGGAAUGAUACACACUCCGUCUUGCACUCUAUGUUCUUUCUUUAAAACAACAUGCAGAAGCCAGGCGUGGUGGCUCACGCCUGUAAUC